GAUGAACGCUGGCGGCGUGCUUAACACAUGCAAGUCGAACGAAGCACUUUAAUCGAUUUCUUCGGAUUGAAAUUUUAGUGACUGAGUGGCGGACGGGUGAGUAACGCGUGGGUAACCUGCCUCACACAGGGGGAUAACAGUUGGAAACGGCUGCUAAUACCGCAUAAGCGCACAGUACCGCAUGGUACGGUGUGAAAAACUCCGGUGGUGUGAGAUGGACCCGCGUCUGAUUAGCUAGUUGGCAGGGCAGCGGCCUACCAAGGCGACGAUCAGUAGCCGAGCUGAGAGGGGGACCGGCAACAUGGGGACUGAGACACGGGCCAAACUCCUACGGGAGGCAGCAGUGGGGAAUAUCGCAAAAUGGGGGAAACCCUGAUGCAGCGACGCCGCGUGAGCGAAGAAGUAUUUCGGUAUGUAAAGCUCUAUCAGCAGGGAAGAAGAAAUGACGGUACCUGACUAAGAAGCACCGGCUAAAUACGUGCCAGCCGCCGCCGUAA
rnacentral:rRNA from 1 species